CCUACGGGGGACAGCAGUGAGGAAUAUUGGUCAAUGGGCUUAAGCCUGAACCAGCCAAGUCGCGUGAGGGAAGACUGCCCUAUGGGUUGUAAACCUCUUUUGUCAGGGAGCAACGCCGGCUACGUGUAGCCGGACUGAGAGUACCUGAAGAAAAAGCAUCGGCUAACUCCGUGCCAGCAGCCGCGGUAAUACGGAGGAUGCGAGCGUUAUCCGGAUUUAUUGGGUUUAAAGGGUGCGUAGGCGGAAUGCCAAGUCAGCGGUAAAAUCGCGGGGCUCAACCUCGCUCCGCCGUUGAAACUGGCGGUCUUGAGUGGGCGAGAAGUAUGCGGAAUGCGUGGUGUAGCGGUGAAAUGCAUAGAUAUCACGCAGAACUCCGAUUGCGAAGGCAGCAUACCGGCGCCCAACUGACGCUGAAGCACGAAAGCGUGGGUAUCGAACAGGAUUAGAUACCCGAGUAGUC
rnacentral:rRNA from 1 species